GCACUAUCCAGAAAAUAGCUCUGUCAUUAGAGUAUGAGACUCUUGAUCUCAGGGCCGUGGGUUUGGGCCCCACCUUGGGCA